rnacentral:rRNA from 1 species
GACGAACGCUGGCGGCGUGCUUACCCCAUGCAAUUCGAACGGAAAGGCCCUGCUUUUGUGGGGUGCUCGAGUGGCGAACGGGUGAGUAACACGUGAGUAACCUGCCCUUGACUUUGGGAUAACUUCAGGAAACUGGGGCUAAUACCGGAUAGGAGCUCCUGCUGCAUGGUGGGGGUUGGAAAGUUUCGGCGGUUGGGGAUGGACUCGCGGCUUAUCAGCUUGUUGGUGGGGUAGUGGCUUACCAAGGCUUUGACGGGUAGCCGGCCUGAGAGGGUGACCGGCCACAUUGGGACUGAGAUACGGCCCAGACUCCUACGGGAGGCAGCAGUGGGGAAUAUUGCACAAUGGGCGGAAGCCUGAUGCAGCAACGCCGCGUGCGGGAUGACGGCCUUCGGGUUGUAAACCGCUUUCGCCUGUGACGAAGCGUGAGUGACGGUAAUGGGUAAAGAAGCACCGGCUAACUACGUG